GGGAGAGCAGAACAAACAAACCCUACUAAUUGACCUUGGGCAAGCUCCCUUCCCUGGCUGGGUUGGAUAUGCUAGCCUGUUAAUGGAGUUUGUGGUC